rnacentral:rRNA from 1 species
UACGAAGGGGGCUAGCGUUGCUCGGAAUCACUGGGCGUAAAGCGCACGUAGGCGGAUUUUUAAGUCAGGGGUGAAAUCCCGAGGCUCAACCUCGGAACUGCCUUUGAUACUGAGAGUCUCGAGUCCGGGAGAGGUGAGUGGAACUCCGAGUGUAGAGGUGAAAUUCGUAGAUAUUCGGAAGAACACCAGUGGCGAAGGCGGCUCACUGGCCCGGUACUGACGCUGAGGUGCGAAAGCGUGGGGAGCAAACAGG